GUGAGAUGAGUGAGAGAACCGGAAGAAGAAAAGAAAGGAAAGAGAGGAGAAAAGAAAGAGAGAAGGGAAAAGAGAAGAAAAGAAAGAAAAGAGAGAAGAAGAAAAGAAAGAAGAGAAAGAAAGAGGAGGAUGAAGAAAAAUAAAAAAUUUGAGAACUCUCCAAGGAAUUGUGACUUGGAUGCGGAUUCAAAAUAAGGGCAUGCAAUGUCAGAUUGCUCUAUAUGUAUAUCGUAAUAAUUGAAGACAUGGGUACCAGUGGGCCUAUUAGUUGUUAAAGAUCCUAUUGCUGCUUUAUGGACUAGCAGGAGCAGUAGCAGUAGAAGUGUCUGGGACUCCAUUCUAUAGACUAGACGGCUUGGGCUAAGCAUAGACGGUGUAAUUUUAUUGUUUAUGAGAUUAUUGAAUACUAGCACAUUAUGUGUUUGUGAUUUUAUAAACGAAAAAUUAUAGUACUCUGGUGACGUUAUGA